GGGCAGGUGGCAGAGUGGUUGAAUGCGCUGGUCUCGAAAACCGGUAUGGGCGCAAGCUCAUCGGGGGUUCGAAUCCCCCCCUGCCCGCCA
rnacentral:tRNA from 1 species